rnacentral:misc_RNA from 1 species
UCCGGUUUGUCACCGGCAGUCUCGCAUGAGUCCCCAACUAAAUGCUAAGUUCCAAGGAUGUCAAGGCCUGGUAAGGUUCUUCGCGUUGCGUCGAAUUAAACCACAUGCUCCACCGCUUGUGCGGGCCCCCGUCAAUUCAUUUGAGUUUUAACCUUGCGGCCGUACUCCCCAGGCGGUCUACUUAGUGCGUUAGCUGCGCCACUAAGAGCUCAAGGCUCCCAACGGCUAGUAGACAUCGUUUACGGCGUGGACUAC